CAGCCGCCGCGGUAAUACGUAGGUGGCAAGCGUUGUCCGGAAUUAUUGGGCGUAAAGGGCUCGCAGGCGGUUUCUUAAGUCUGAUGUGAAAGCCCCCGGCUCAACCGGGGAGGGUCAUUGGAAACUGGGAAACUUGAGUGCAGAAGAGGAGAGUGGAAUACCACGUGUAGCGGUGAAAUGCGUAGAGAUGUGGAGGAACACCAGUGGCGAAGGCGACUCUCUGGUCUGUAACUGACGCUGAGGAGCGAAAGCGUGGGGAGCGAACAGGAUUAGAUACCCCAGUAGUCCCUGUCUCUUAUAA
rnacentral:rRNA from 1 species